GCCUCCUGAGCCGUAUACUCGUGUGCUUGUCGAAUAAUCCGUGUGCCGGCUGAAUAUGUGUGCCUUCGCUGGAGCGUACUACGUUGUUCCGCGCUCCGCCCGUGAGGAGUGACGUGGCACCGCGUAUUCUACCGCAGUGCAUUCGUCGCUGCGUUCGUGCCUGUUAUCUGCACUGCAACCUCGCCUUUGAAAGGACGACAACCUUGCUUUUUAAUUACAAGUUGAAUGUUUGCUUAAGACGAUGGACACAUUGCAAAUGGCGGCAGAAGUGGAUCGGCUACAUCGGUGAAGCGACGAUUUAUAUUACAAGCGAGGCUAAUUGUAUUCUUUCGUUAUAGGUGAAUGUGGGACUGUAUCGACUGCAAGGACGUAGUGUCCUGUCUCAACGGUCACGCAUAUGCGUGCAAAACUGCAACUGCUUCUCACAUCGAAGAGGGGUCUGGUGCCACAUGCUCGGACAAUUAUUCGUCGGCCAUUUCGUUUGAGGAACUGUCGUGUUCGUCAUUAAGGAUGAUCUUGGUUGAGCUUUGCAGUGCCAGCCUGGUGCAUCGGAGGGGUUGUGUCCAUGCAACGUGUGCUCCAUAUGUGUGUGUUGGGAUUAGUGAACCGUGUAUGCUUUCCAUUCGGCCAACGAUGAUGUACUGGAUGAAAUUUAAAGGUAUGUGCACGCCAAUAAACUUUGUUGUUUCAA